rnacentral:rRNA from 1 species
AAGCUGCGGAGGGACGCAGGAAGGUAGCCGUACCGGGCGAUGGUAGUCCCGGGGUAAGUGUGUAGGAAGGGGUGUAGGUAAAUCCGCGCCUCGUAUAUUCUGAAGCAUGACGCAUAGACCGUGUGGUCGAAUUCGGUGAUCCUAUGCUGUCUAGAAAAGCUUCGUGAGCGAGUUGUGAGCCGCCCGUACCCUAAACCGACACAGGUGGAUAGGUAGAGAAUACUAGGGCGAUCGAGAGAAUCGUGGUGAAGGAACUCGGCAAAAUACCCCCGUAACUUCGGGAUAAGGGGGACCGGAGGGGUGCAAGCCCUGAGGGUCGCAGAGACUACGCCCAAGCGACUGUUUACCAAAAACACAGGUCCGUGCCAAGUUGUAAGACGAUGUAUACGGACUGACUCCUGCCCGGUGCUGGAAGGUUAAGGGGAACUGUUAGCGCAAGCGAAGCGGUGAACUUAAGCCCCAGUAAACGGCGGUGGUAACUAUAACCAUCCUAAGGUAGCGAAAUUCCUUGUCGGGUAAGUUCCGACCUGCACGAAUGGAGUAACGAUUUGGGCACUGUCUCCACCACGAACUCGGCGAAAUUGCAUUACGAGUAAAGAUGCUCGUUACGCGCAGCAGGACGGAAAGACCCCGGGACCUUUACUAUAGUUUGGUAUUGGUGAUCGGGACGACUUGUGUAGGAUAGGUGGGAGACUGUGAAGCAUUGACGCCAGUUGGUGUGGAGUCAUCGUUGAAAUACCACUCUGGUCGUUCUGGUUAUCUAACCUCGGACCGUUAUCCGGUUCAGGGACAGUGCCUGAUGGGUAGUUUGACUGGGGCGGUCGCCUCCUAAAAGGUAACGGAGGCGCCCAAAGGUUCCCUCAGCCUGGUUGGCAAUCAGGUGUUGAGUGUAAAUGCACAAGGGAGCUUGACUGUGAGACAGACAUGUCGAGCAGGGACGAAAGUCGGGAUUAGUGAUCCUACGGUGGCAGGUGGACGCGCCGUAACUCAACGGAUAAAAGGUACCCCGGGGAUAACAGGCUGAUCUUGCCCGAGCGCUCACAGCGACGGCAUGGUUUGGCACCUCGAUGUCGGCUCGUCGCAUCCUGGGGCUGGAGUCGGUCCCAAGGGUUGGGCUGUUCGCCCGUUAAAGCGGCACGCGAGCUGGGUUCAGAACGUCGUGAGACAGUUCGGUCCCUAUCCGCUGCGCGCGUAGGAAUCUUGAGAAGAGCUGUCCUUAGUACGAGAGGACCGGGACGGACUAACCUCUGGUGUGCCAGUUGUUCUGCCAAGAGCACGGCUGGUUGGCUACGUUGGGAAGUGAUAACCGCUGAAAGCAUCUAAGUGGGAAGCACGCUUCAAGAUGAGGGUUCCCUCACCGUUAAGGUGGUAAGGUCCCCGGUAGACCACCGGGUUGAUAGGUCGGACGUGGAAGUACAGUAAUGUAUGGAGCUGACCGAUACUAAUAGACCGAGGGCUUGUU